AAAAAAGGAGUGCGGUGUAGCAUCUGUUCUUAUCACUUUAGUAUCUGAUACCACCUCUAUGUUAUGUAAUCUAUCUAACAAUAGAUAAAAUGGAUUUUUGGAGCAGGGAGUUGGCCUAGGUUCCUUUUCCGUCCACUCCACGUAUUGACAUGGUGUUGCAGCACCUCCAGGAUUGGCACACCCCCU
rnacentral:snRNA from 1 species